rnacentral:lncRNA from 1 species
GAGAGAGAUUAAGCCAGGGCUAGCCAGGACCAGUAUGUAGGGGUGGUCAGGUGAAUGGAGAGAUAAGCAAUUCUGUCUUAUCUGCCUCAGAGGGAGAACACUAGUUUCUUGCACUAAAAGAAGAUUAAAACCACAAUAGCCCUUCUGUGAGCCACAAACUCAUCAGUUCUGGACAUGAUAAUGCCAGGAAGCUUGAAGAGCUGUUUAGCAGCUGUUUGUCUGAAGUUCACUGGUGCUGCCCAUAUUGAAUAAGUUACAAGUUUCAGUAUGAAAAAAUAUGAAGAGAAUUCUGUGCUGCUGAGCUGGAACUGUUGACCUAGCAUGGACUUGGAUAAUCUCAGAAUCACUGAAUCAAUCAAUGAAUCCACAAGCAUUAAUCAAGUGUUCAAUCUGAGCUAGAUGGAGGCUGGACCCAGAAGAUCAAAAGAUUCCAAAUCAUUGAAUCUUGAACAUCCUGUGUGGUGUGAUUUUCUCAAUGGAAAUGACACAAAAGAAGAUGAAACACCACCUGCUUUGCCAGUUCAUCCUAAGGACCAUUGAGUCUUUUCAUCUGAGUUGGAUCAGAAACCUUCUUUAUGUGUUACUACCUAUUACACUGGAAAUUCCUUGAGAACCAGCACUGUUUUGCUUUUUCAUUUAUAUUCACAGAUUUCAGAUAGGUGCUUGGUACUUAACCAUUUAAUAAAAUAUCUUCCAUACAUUUCUUCA